ensembl:lncRNA
CUUGACAAAAACACAUGCAUUGAUGCUGAUUUUAUGCCUGCAUCUUUGCUGUGCACUACAAAAUGCUUACAUUCUCAGAAAACGGUCAAAACAAAACAAAAACUGGGGCACUGGGGCAGUACCCUUUCAAAAGGAAAGUGCAACUUUACAGUGGCAAUGGUGCAUACUGCUGGAAAAGUCACUUGCUUCAAGAUGAUGGAUGGACAUGUCCCAAUUUGCAUGUCUGGUGGUCAAACAUCUCAAUCAUGUGACAUUGCGUACAAAGAUGGGAUGACGUGUAUAAAGUGGCCAGCAGACAUCGAACUCACAUGUGUGAACGAUUCUGAUGAGAUGCAUAAGCUCAAUAUUGAAGAAAACAAGUGUGCCCAUGACCAAGAAUCUAUUAGUUGCAAUGGAGAGUACAAAUCUGAGCUUAGAAAUUCUGCAUCAACCCUGUCAUUGAGCAUUCUUCUAAUUACUACCAUUGUCCACUGGGUGUCACUAUGGCACUACUAAUAUAGUAAUAUAGUGUAUAGUUCUGAGACACAUUACUCAAACUUAAAAAUAAUAAUAACAAUAAUAAUGUGUUCGAAUAAACCAUUUUUAUAUAUAUAUAAAAAAACUAUGCAAUACUCAAUAAAAAUAAAAAUUUACAUUUUCACUUCAUAUAUACAUACAGUCAUGGCCAAAAGUUUUGGCAGUGACAUAAAUUUUGUGUUUUGCAAAGUUUGCUGCUUAAACUGUUGUGGUGUUCAUUCGCAUUGUUUCUAGAUUAUUGUGUAGAUUGAUCAGAUGCAUUUUAAAUUAAUUGCUAAAAGCUUAAUUGGCCAAAAAAAAUUACUUCAAAUUUCACAGUUUUUUUGGUAAACAUGGCCUUGUCCCAACUUUUUUGAGAUGUGUUGAUUUAAAAUCAACUUAUUUUUCCCUUAAAAUUAUACAUUUUCUCAGUUUAAACAUUUGAUAUGUCAUCUAGGUUGUAUUCUAAAUAAAAUAUUGAAAUUUGAAACUUCCACAUCAUUGCAUUCUGUUUUUAUUCACAAUUUGUACAGUGUCCCAACUUUUUUGGAAUCGGGUUUGUACAAGGAUUGGACAGCAGAAGACUGGUGCAAAGUUAUUUUCUCUGAUAAAGCUUCUCUCCGACUGUUUGGGACAUCUGGAAAAAGGAUUGUUCGGAGAAGAAAAGGUGAACGCGAGUCCUGUGUUGUGCCAAAAGUGAAGCAUCCUGAGACCAUCCAUGUGUGGGGUUGCUUUUCAACCAAGGGAGUGGGCUCUCUCAUAAUUCUACGUAAAAGCACUGCCAGGAAUAAAGAAUGGUAUCAAAACGUCCUGCAAGAGCGACUUCUUCCAAUGAUCCAUAAGCAAUUUGGUGAUGAUCCGUGCAUUUUGCAACAUGAUGGAGCACCAUGUCACAAAGCAAGAAUGAUCAAGAAGUGGCUCAAAGAUCAUUACAUUGAAAUUUUGGAUCCGUGGCCAGACAAAUCCCCAGAUCUCAAUCCCAUAGAGAACCUGUGGUCAGUCCUUAAAAGGCGCAUGGACAAGCAGAAGCCCACAAAUUGUGAUGAACUCAGAGAACUAAUAAGGCAAGAAUGGAUCGCCAUCAGUCAGGAUUUGGCCCAGAAACUAAUAUCCAGCAUGCCAGAGAGAAUUGCAGAGAGAUAAAGAACAAGGGUCAACUGUAAAUAUUGUAAAUAUAUAUAUAUUUUUGCCAAUAAAAGCUUUUAAAACUUAAAAAUAAUCUACAAAUACUGAAGCAGCAAACUUUGCAAAACACAAAAUUUAUGUCACAUCCAAAUCUUAAAGUGUGUACGUGUAUA